rnacentral:rRNA from 1 species
GACGAACGCUGGCGGCGUGCCUAAUACAUGCAAGUCGAACGCUGAAGAGAGGAGCUUGCUCUUCUUGGAUGAGUUGCGAACGGGUGAGUAACGCGUAGGUAACCUGCCUUGUAGCGGGGGAUAACUAUUGGAAACGAUAGCUAAUACCGCAUAACAAUGGAUGACACAUGUCAUUUAUUUGAAAGGGGCAAUUGCUCCACUACAAGAUGGACCUGCGUUGUAUUAGCUAGUAGGUGAGGUAAUGGCUCACCUAGGCGACGAUACAUAGCCGACCUGAGAGGGUGAUCGGCCACACUGGGACUGAGACACGGCCCAGACUCCUACGGGAGGCAGCAGUAGGGAAUCUUCGGCAAUGGGGGCAACCCUGACCGAGCAACGCCGCGUGAGUGAAGAAGGUUUUCGGAUCGUAAAGCUCUGUUGUAAGUCAAGAACGGGUGUGAGAGUGGAAAGUUCACACUGUGACGGUAGCUUACCAGAAAGGGACGGCUAACUACGU